UACGAAGGGGGCUAGCGUUGCUCGGAAUCACUGGGCGUAAAGCGCACGUAGGCGGCUUCUUAAGUCAGGGGUGAAAUCCUGGAGCUCAACUCCAGAACUGCCUUUGAUACUGGCGAUCUCGAGUCCGGGAGAGGUGAGUGGAACUGCGAGUGUAGAGGUGAAAUUCGUAGAUAUUCGCAAGAACACCAGUGGCGAAGGCGGCUCACUGGCCCGGUACUGACGCUGAGGUGCGAAAGCGUGGGGAACAAACAGG
rnacentral:rRNA from 1 species